GACUUAACGAUUAAGCGGAGAG
rnacentral:snRNA from 1 species